CAUUUACUCCCUUCGUCCCAAAAUACUUGUCUUAGAUUUGUUUAGAUAUGAAUGCAUCUAGUCAAGUUUUAGUAUUUAGAUACACCCAUUUCUAAAUAAAGUUAAGACAAGAAUUUUGAAAUGGAGGGAGUACUAU
rnacentral:pre_miRNA from 1 species